GUGGUUAAGCGACAAAGGGCGUACGGUGGAUGCCUGGGCGUCUGCUAGCGAUGAAGGACGUAGAAGGCUGCGAUAAGCCACGG
rnacentral:rRNA from 3 species